AUUUUCUUCAUCGCCAGAAAACAGAGAGUCACUUAAGUUAUCAGGAUCUUAAAGAGGAAAAUGAAGAAAGAUACUGUUCUGUUGCUGGCAACGCAGGCAGCGCUCACAAGGGCGCGGGAGACGGGCGACAUUGACCUCAGCAAACGGUUUCCGAAGCUCUGGCAAAAACCACACACUGGCGGGUACGCUGCAGCACCAAACUGACAAAUGCAACAAGCACAGCUCGCUUUCCACAGAAAGGGGGCUCCCUUCCUGUC